GAUGAACGCUAGCGAUUGGCCUAACACAUGCAAGUCGAGGGGCAGCACGGGAGUAGCAAUACAACUGGUGGCGACCGGCGCACGGGUGAGUAACGCGUAUGUAAUCUACCUACAACAGGGGGAUAACCCGGAGAAAUCCGGACUAAUACCGCAUAAAACAGGGGUCCCGCCUGGGACUAUUUGUUAAAGAUUUAUCGGUUGUAGAUGAGCAUGCGUUCCAUUAGAUAGUUGGUAAGGUAACGGCUUACCAAGUCAGCGAUGGAUAGGGGAACUGAGAGGUUUGUCCCCCACACUGGAACUCGGACACGGACCAGACUCCUACGGGAGGCAGCAGUGAGGAAUAUUGGUCAAUGGGCGAGAGCCUGAACCAGCCAAAUCGCGUGAAGGAAGACUGCCUUAUGGGUUGUAAACUUCUUUUACAGGGGAAUAAAAAGACAUACGAGUAUGUCAUUGCAUGUACCCUGUGAAUAAGCAUCGGCUAACUCCGUGCCAGCCGCCGCCGUAA
rnacentral:rRNA from 1 species